AAAAAAUUAGUUAAACCCAAUAACAUUAGAAUGUCAACCUAAAAUUAUCAAAUAUUGAUAUUUUUUA
rnacentral:tRNA from 1 species